CUGUGCGGCCGCCUCGCCUCCCCGACCCGCGCCUCGAAGCCUCGACGCCCUCCUGCCCCCUCGGCCAGCCAGCCCUGCGUUUGGGACUGUGCUGGCUGGUGACUUAACCCUGGGAGAUGCCGCUGGCAGAAGCAGCUCUGCAGGUCUCCUGGCAAGACCUGUCCCAGUUCCCAUGAGCAGCACUAUGGGUAUGGAUGCUUCCGACUUCCUGCUACCAAUGGAACCAUCCUGUUCAGCUCCAGGCAAGGUAGAAAGCAGUCAGUCUGCACUCUGAGAUAGAGAAAGAAAAAUCACCAUAGGA
rnacentral:lncRNA from 1 species